rnacentral:rRNA from 1 species
GACGAACGCUGGCGGCGUGCUUAACACAUGCAAGUCGAACGGUAAGGCCCUUCGGGGUACACGAGUGGCGAACGGGUGAGUAACACGUGGGUGAUCUGCCCUGCACUUCGGGAUAAGCCUGGGAAACUGGGUCUAAUACCGGAUAGGACCACUGCCUGCAUGGGUGGUGGUGGAAUGCUUUUGCGGUGUGGGAUGGGCCCGCGGCCUAUCAGCUUGUUGGUGGGGUGAUGGCCUACCAAGGCGACGACGGGUAGCCGGCCUGAGAGGGUGACCGGCCACACUGGGACUGAGAUACGGCCCAGACUCCUACGGGGGGCAGCAGUGGGGAAUAUUGCACAAUGGGCGCAAGCCUGAUGCAGCGACGCCGCGUGAGGGAUGACGGCCUUCGGGUUGUAAACCUCUUUCAGCACCGACGAAGCGCAAGUGACGGUAGGUGCAGAAGAAGGACCGGCCAACUACGUGCCAGCCGCCGCAGUAAUAC